rnacentral:lncRNA from 1 species
GAUAAAUCCAGUGCCAGCAUUGGUGACAUGGAAAAGGAGCCAGGAAUUCCCAGUUUGACACCACAGGCUGAGCUCCCUGAACCAGGUGGAGUCUUGCUCUGUCACCCAGGCUGGAGUGCAGUGGCACGAUCUAGGCUCACUGCAACCUCCGCCUCCCAGGUUCAAGUGAUUCUCCUGUCUCACCCUCCUGAGUAGCUGCAACUACAGCUGUGCGGUCAGAGAAGAAACGCCUUAGGAAGCCAAGCAAGUGGCUUUUGGAAUAUACAGAAGAAUAUGAUCAGAUAUUUGCUCCUAAGAAAAAACAAAAGAAGGUACAGGAGCAGGUGCACAAGGAAAUUAUGAAAGUAAACGUCAAAGAAAACCAACUAAGAAACUUCUUGAAUCCAAUGAUUUAGACCCUGGAUUUAUGCCCAAGAAGGGGGACCUUGGCCUUUCUAAAAAG